rnacentral:lncRNA from 1 species
UAUAUCGGGGCGGAGCCCAAUCCUCCCCCUCCUGGUUCAACCCUAUGGAGGGGACCCUCCUGAGGCUCCGCCUACCCCAAAUCUCGCGGGCCUCUAGCCCCUCCUCCUCUCGUUAUCCCAAUAGAAUGACCUCCAGGUACCACCCACCUGGUUACACACCUUAAUGUAACCCAACGGGCUAAAAUCACACACCUGAAUUAACCAAUGAGAAGCCCCCCACUCCUGAGCAAACCUUAAGGUAUUGCACAGAGACCCCAAAAAGAGGAUAAAAGAAGGCGAGCUGGCCCGGCUCGCCAGCGUCGUCCAGACGCUCGGGGGGUGCACACCUCCCAGCCGGCCCGGCGUCCUUGCGGCGGCCUCCCCCCCCAUGAAGCGGGUGGCGCGGGGUCCCUGCCUGGCACCAGGGUCCGGCCUGGGAGCGCACCCCCAUCCCCGCCGGAGCGGGGCAGCGGACCCAGCGGACCCGGUGGGCCACCCGGCCGCCCCCCGAGCUCCAGGGCCGGAACCCCGGACCCGGCUGCAGCCGGCCACCCCCCGCCGGAGCGGGGCAGCGGACCCAGCGGACCCGGUGGGCCACCCGGCCGCCCCCCGAGCUCCAGGGCCGGAACCCCGGACCCGGCUGCAGCCGGCCACCCCCCGCCGGAGCGGGGCAGCGGACCCAGCGGACCCGGUGGGCCACCCGGCCGCCCCCCGAGCUCCAGGGCCGGAACCCCGGACCCGGCUGCAGCCGGCCACCCCCCGCCGGAGCGGGGCAGCGGACCCAGCGGACCCGGUGGGCCACCCGGCCGCCCCCCGAGCUCCAGGGCCGGAACCCCGGACCCGGCUGCAGCCGGCCACCCCCCGCCGGAGCGGGGCAGCGGACCCAGCGGACCCGGUGGGCCACCCGGCCGCCCCCCGAGCUCCAGGGCCGGAACCCCGGACCCGGCUGCAGCCGGCCACCCCCCGCCGGAGCGGGGCAGCGGACCCAGCGGACCCGGUGGGCCACCCGGCCGCCCCCCGAGCUCCAGGGCCGGAACCCCGGACCCGGCUGCAGCCGGCCACCCCCCGCCGGAGCGGGGCAGCGGACCCAGCGGACCCGGUGGGCCACCCGGCCGCCCCCCGAGCUCCAGGGCCGGAACCCCGGACCCGGCUGCAGCCGGCCACCCCCCGCCGGAGCGGGGCAGCGGACCCAGCGGACCCGGUGGGCCACCCGGCCGCCCCCCGAGCUCCAGGGCCGGAACCCCGGACCCGGCUGCAGCCGGCCACCCCCCGCCGGAGCGGGGCAGCGGACCCAGCGGACCCGGUGGGCCACCCGGCCGCCCCCCGAGCUCCAGGGCCGGAACCCCGGACCCGGCUGCAGCCGGCCACCCCCCGCCGGAGCGGGGCAGCGGACCCAGCGGACCCGGUGGGCCACCCGGCCGCCCCCCGAGCUCCAGGGCCGGAACCCCGGACCCGGCUGCAGCCGGCCACCCCCCGCCGGAGCGGGGCAGCGGACCCAGCGGACCCGGUGGGCCACCCGGCCGCCCCCCGAGCUCCAGGGCCGGAACCCCGGACCCGGCUGCAGCCGGCCACCCCCCGCCGGAGCGGGGCAGCGGACCCAGCGGACCCGGUGGGCCACCCGGCCGCCCCCCGAGCUCCAGGGCCGGAACCCCGGACCCGGCUGCAGCCGGCCACCCCCCGCCGGAGCGGGGCAGCGGACCCAGCGGACCCGGUGGGCCACCCGGCCGCCCCCCGAGCUCCAGGGCCGGAACCCCGGACCCGGCUGCAGCCGGCCACCCCCCGCCGGAGCGGGGCAGCGGACCCAGCGGACCCGGUGGGCCACCCGGCCGCCCCCCGAGCUCCAGGGCCGGAACCCCGGACCCGGCUGCAGCCGGCCACCCCCCGCCGGAGCGGGGCAGCGGACCCAGCGGACCCGGUGGGCCACCCGGCCGCCCCCCGAGCUCCAGGGCCGGAACCCCGGACCCGGCUGCAGCCGGCCACCCCCCGCCGGAGCGGGGCAGCGGACCCAGCGGACCCGGUGGGCCACCCGGCCGCCCCCCGAGCUCCAGGGCCGGAACCCCGGACCCGGCUGCAGCCGGCCACCCCCCGCCGGAGCGGGGCAGCGGACCCAGCGGACCCGGUGGGCCACCCGGCCGCCCCCCGAGCUCCAGGGCCGGAACCCCGGACCCGGCUGCAGCCGGCCACCCCCCGCCGGAGCGGGGCAGCGGACCCAGCGGACCCGGUGGGCCACCCGGCCGCCCCCCGAGCUCCAGGGCCGGAACCCCGGACCCGGCUGCAGCCGGCCACCCCCCGCCGGAGCGGGGCAGCGGACCCAGCGGACCCGGUGGGCCACCCGGCCGCCCCCCGAGCUCCAGGGCCGGAACCCCGGACCCGGCUGCAGCCGGCCACCCCCCGCCGGAGCGGGGCAGCGGACCCAGCGGACCCGGUGGGCCACCCGGCCGCCCCCCGAGCUCCAGGGCCGGAACCCCGGACCCGGCUGCAGCCGGCCACCCCCCGCCGGAGCGGGGCAGCGGACCCAGCGGACCCGGUGGGCCACCCGGCCGCCCCCCGAGCUCCAGGGCCGGAACCCCGGACCCGGCUGCAGCCGGCCACCCCCCGCCGGAGCGGGGCAGCGGACCCAGCGGACCCGGUGGGCCACCCGGCCGCCCCCCGAGCUCCAGGGCCGGAACCCCGGACCCGGCUGCAGCCGGCCACCCCCCGCNNNNNNNNNNNNNNNNNNNNNNNNNNNNNNNNNNNNNNNNNNNNNNNNNNNNNNNNNNNNNNNNNNNNNNNNNNNNNGGAGCGGGGCAGCGGACCCAGCGGACCCGGUGGGCCACCCGGCCGCCCCCCGAGCUCCAGGGCCGGAACCCCGGACCCGGCUGCAGCCGGCCACCCCCCGCCGGAGCGGGGCAGCGGACCCAGCGGACCCGGUGGGCCACCCGGCCGCCCCCGAGCUCCAGGGCUGGGUCCUGAGACCCAAAGGGACAGGGGGAGACUUUCGGGGCAUUGGUGUAACAAUAAACUGGCUAAACUUACAUCACGUGUAUGUGGUUUUUCAUGCAGCAUACAGAUUAGAGGGGCAGGUAGUUAUUGGCUCCGAGAUUCUAGAAACACGUGUCCCGCUGAAGCAGGGGGCCUUGCUUCCCCUGUUAUUCUGA